GAUGAACGCUGGCGGCGUGCCUAAUACAUGCAAGUCGAGCGAACGGACGAGAAGCUUGCUUCUCUGAUGUUAGCGGCGGACGGGUGAGUAACACGUGGAUAACCUACCUAUAAGACUGGGAUAACUUCGGGAAACCGGAGCUAAUACCGGAUAAUAUUUUGAACCGCAUGGUUCAAAAGUGAAAGACGGUCUUGCUGUCACUUAUAGAUGGAUCCGCGCUGCAUUAGCUAGUUGGUAAGGUAACGGCUUACCAAGGCAACGAUGCAUAGCCGACCUGAGAGGGUGAUCGGCCACACUGGAACUGAGACACGGUCCAGACUCCUACGGGAGGCAGCAGUAGGGAAUCUUCCGCAAUGGGCGAAAGCCUGACGGAGCAACGCCGCGUGAGUGAUGAAGGUCUUCGGAUCGUAAAAACUCUGUUAUUAGGGAAGAACAUAUGUGUAAGUAACUGUGCACCAUCUUGACCGUACCUAAUCAAAAAGCCCCGGCUAACUACGUGCCAGCAGCCGCGGUAAUACGUAGGUGGCAAGCGUUAUCCGGAAUUAUGGGUGUAAAGCCCGCGAAGGCGGUUUUUUAGUCUGAUGUGAAAGCCCACGGCUCAACCGUGGAGGGUCAUUGGAAACUGGAAAACUUGAGUGCAGAAGAGGAAAGUGGAAUUCCAUGUGUAGCGGUGAAAUGCGCAGAGAUAUGGAGGAACACCAGUGGCGAAGGCGACUUUCUGGUCUGUAACUGACGCUGAUGUGCGAAAGCGUGGGGAUCAAACAGGAUUAGAUACCCUGGUAGUCCACGCCGUAAACGAUGAGUGCUAAGUGUUAGGGGGUUUCCGCCCCUUAGUGCUGCAGCUAACGCAUUAAGCACUCCGCCUGGGGAGUACGACCGCAAGGUUGAAACUCAAAGGAAUUGACGGGGACCCGCACAAGCGGUGGAGCAUGUGGUUUAAUUCGAAGCAACGCGAAGAACCUUACCAAAUCUUGACAUCCUUUGACAACUCUAGAGAUAGAGCUUUCCCCUUCGGGGGACAAAGUGACAGGUGGUGCAUGGUUGUCGUCAGCUCGUGUCGUGAGAUGUUGGGUUAAGUCCCGCAACGAGCGCAACCCUUAAGCUUAGUUGCCAUCAUUAAGUUGGGCACUCUAAGUUGACUGCCGGUGACAAACCGGAGGAAGGUGGGGAUGACGUCAAAUCAUCAUGCCCCUUAUGAUUUGGGCUACACACGUGCUACAAUGGACAAUACAAAGGGCAGCGAAACCGUGAGGUCAAGCAAAUCCCAUAAAGUUGUUCUCCUUUCGGAUUGUAGUCUGCAACUCGACUACAUGAAGCUGGAAUCCCUAGUAAUCGUAAAUCAGCAUGCUUCCGGGGAAUACGUUCCCGGGUCU
rnacentral:rRNA from 1 species